rnacentral:tRNA from 1 species
GCGGCCAUGCUGGAACUGGCAGACAGGCGAGCUUGAGGUGCUCGUGCCCGCAAGGGCGUAGAGGUUCAAGUCCUCUUGGCCGCACUA